rnacentral:rRNA from 1 species
UACAGAGGUCUCAAGCGUUGUUCGGAUUCAUUGGGCGUAAAGGGUGUGUAGGUGGCGCGCUAAGUCGGGUGUGAAAUUUCGGAGCUUAACUCCGAAACUGCAUUCGAUACUGGCGUGCUUGAGGACUGGAGAGGAGACUGGAAUUCAUGGUGUAGCAGUGAAAUGCGUAGAGAUCGGCAGGAACACCCAGGGGGAAACCAGUCGACUGGGCAGCACCUGACGCUGAGGUGCGAGAGCGUGGGGAGCGAACCGG